UAUUAAAAAUUUUAUCUAUUUGUAUUAUUAAAAACUGGCGAGGUUGUAGGAAUAACUAGAUAUUGACACGUGGCAUGUCAUGUGUACCUCAUGCUGACAAAUAGUAACCAGUUUUUAAUAGUUGAAAUGGAUGGAAUUUUUAACA
rfam:Gossypium raimondii Chr05_contig_1362, whole genome shotgun sequence.